rnacentral:rRNA from 1 species
GACGAACGCUGGCGGCGUGCCUAAUACAUGCAAGUCGAGCGCAGGAAAUCGACGGAACCCUUCGGGGGGAAGUCGACGGAAUGAGCGGCGGACGGGUGAGUAACACGUAAAGAACCUGCCCUCAGGUCUGGGAUAACCACGAGAAAUCGGGGCUAAUACCGGAUGGGUCAUCGGACCGCAUGGUCCGAGGAUGAAAGGCGCUUCGGCGUCGCCUGGGGAUGGCUUUGCGGUGCAUUAGCUAGUUGGGGGGGUAAUGGCCCACCAAGGCGACGAUGCAUGGCCGACCUGAGAGGGUGAUCGGCCACACUGGGACUGAGACACGGCCCAGACUCCUACGGGAGGCAGCAGUAGGGAAUCUUCCACAAUGGACGAAAGUCUGAUGGAGCAACGCCGCGUGAACGAUGAAGGCCUUCGGGUCGUAAAGUUCUGUUGUAAGGGAAGAACAAGUGCCGCAGGCAAUGGCGGCACCUUGACGGUACCUUGCGAGAAAGCCACGGCUAACUACGUGCCAGCCGCCGCCGUAA